AACGCACGAGACCUGCGGACCUGCGGAAGGAUCAUUAUCGCAUGCGGCAAUGCGAUUGCGGCGCAGGCGACUCAGCUGCGCAGAGUCGUGAAGCACAGCUCAGAGUCGUGCAGCGGCAAAGCGAGCAGUCGUCGGCAGCAAUCGGCCACAUUAGCGCUUGUCGAGUUUGGCUGUUUGUGAGGGCAAAAGACAACUUUCAGCAAUGGAUCUCU
rnacentral:misc_RNA from 1 species